UACGUAGGGGGCAAGCGUUGUUCGGAAUUACUGGGCGUAAAGCGCGUGUAGGCGGUCUGGCAAGUCAGAUGUGAAAGCCCCGGGCUCAACUUGGGAACUGCAUUUGAUACUGCCAAGCUAGAGUACAGAAGAGGUGACUGGAAUUCCCAGUGUAGCGGUGAAAUGCGUAGAUAUUGGGAGGAAUACCGGUGGCGAAAGCGACUCUCUGGACGGCAACUGACGCUGAGGCACGAAAGCGUGGGGAGCAAACAGGG
rnacentral:rRNA from 1 species